UACUAAGCCAAAGUUUCCGGCAAAAUGGG
rnacentral:piRNA from 1 species